AUUGAACGCUGGCGGCAGGCCUAACACAUGCAAGUCGAACGGGUGGCGGACGGGUGGGUGGUGUCUGGGAAACUGCGUGAUGGAGGGGGAUAAGUAGUGGAAACGGUAGCUACUACCGCUAACGGUCGGAUGUGCCGAGGUGGGAUUAGCUAGUCGGUGGGGUAAAGGCUCACCAAGGCGACGAUCCCUAGCUGGUCUGAGAGGAUGACCAGCCACACUGGAACUGAGACACGGUCCAGACUCCUACGGGAGGCAGCAGUGGGGAAUAUUGCACAAUGGGCGCAAGCCUGAUGCAGCCAUGCCGCGUGUAUGAAGAAGGCCUUCGGGUUGUAAAGUACUUUCAGCGGGGAGGCGUUACCCGCAGAAGAAGCACCGGCUAACUCCGUGCCAGCAGCCGCGGUAAUAC
rnacentral:rRNA from 1 species